rnacentral:tRNA from 1 species
GCCCAGUUGGUUAAAUGUCCAACUCGUGAUUUCGGCUCCAGUCACGAUCUCCCAAUUCGUGGGUUCAAGCCCCACAUGGGGCU